rnacentral:lncRNA from 1 species
CAAGGAAGCAAGGUGAAGGCUGGAAGGCAAGAGUCUGACUUCUGUUCUUUGUACUGUUAAUCAAAGCUGUGUUUUCUAAUGUCACAGGCUAUGAACCCAGCUUUUUGUGUUCAGUCCAGAGA